GAAACAAAUAAAAAAAAAAAAAAAAAAAAAAAAACCUGAUAAUCUUCAUGAAAGAUUUCUUGUUUUUCAAAGCGACCAAAAAAGAAUCACUUGAUUUGUUCAGAGCGGCUUUUUGAUGCCCAGAUAGAGAGUCAACUUAAAAAAAGAGUGGGGGGGGAGGAAGAAAGGUGGAGGAUUGGGGCACGGAGAGGGGGAGUUUUGAAGAUGAGAGUUGACUUUUACUUUCCUU
rnacentral:ribozyme from 15 species